GUCAUGGCCUCCGUCGACGGCCACUCCCUCAGAUUGCUCAAUGAUCCUUUUCUGCUCCUAGCGGUGCGUCACAGGAUGAAGGGCAUAUCCCUCCCAAGAUGGUAUUUGGGCGGUGAACACCACCCGGGGUGGCCAAAGCUCCAAACAUCGCUGUGGCCACAGCUUGCAGUGGGGGAGUACAGUUUCCUCCCGGACACAAAUGAGCCCAAGUCUUCCCAGACCUGGUUCCUAUGGAGACCUGGAAAAGGGUCCCCAGGAGCUACCAGAUGAGAUUUUUACUGGGGUGAAGUCCUGAGGCUAUACAUGGGCACACACAGGACACAUGUGGUUACCAUCCUCUGGCUAUUCUAUAUUAUCACCAUUCCGAAGUGUGCUAGGUGAUGAUUUUAUUAAGUCCAGUGAUAGGAAAGACAUUUAGUAAAACAGUGCUCUGUCCUAGAGGGUUAAGGCACGCGUGGUAAUUAAAAACCUCCAAGGCUCAAGUGGAAAUGCAGAGUUU
rnacentral:lncRNA from 1 species